rnacentral:rRNA from 1 species
GAUGAACGCUGGCGGCGUGCCUAAUACAUGCAAGUCGAGCGAACAGACGAGGAGCUUGCUCCUCUUACGUUAGCGGCGGACGGGUGAGUAACACGUGGAUAACCUACCUAUAAGACUGGGAUAACUUCGGGAAACCGGAGCUAAUACCGGAUAAUAUAUUGAACCGCAUGGUUCAAUAGUGAAAGACGGUUUUGCUGUCACUUAUAGACGGAUCCGCGCCGCAUUAGCUAGUUGGUAAGGUAACGGCUUACCAAGGGAACGAUGCGUAGCCGACCUGAGAGGGUGAUCGGCCACCCUGGAACUGAGACACGGUCCAGACUCCUGCGGGAGGCAGCAGUAGGGAAUCUUCCGCAAUGGGCGAAAGCCUGACGGAGCAACGCCGCGUGAGUGAUGAAGGUCUUCGGAUCGUAAAACUCUGUUAUUAGGGAAGAACAAAUGUGUAAGUAACUAUGCACGUCUUGACGGUACCUAAUCAGAAAGCCCCGGCUAACUACGUG